GUCCAUAUUAGAAAAGCCGCUAAAAUCAUAAAACUUUGCAGAAUUGUAAUAAAUUAGCAAUAUAAAUUACAAGUCUGUGAUAGUGUAUAAAUUUGUAGUGAAAAAAAAAAAACGUGGACCAAGGUGGGAUUGAACCCACGACCUUUGAGCUGCAGAGCCGUGUCAUUACUGAUUGCGCCACCUGGAAAGGGGGCGGCGGUCUGAAAGACAGAUACUUGGGCAGUCAGAAAAUAGAUCGCGGUGAGAGGCGAAAAACGCCGUUUUUUGGAGUUACAAAACGUCGUGUAACUCAAAAACUAGGAGGGCUAGCAGCAUAAUUCUUGUACUGGGUGAAUCAGCGGACUUUGGUGUAUUUUGACUGCGAUUUUCAUAGCUCGUUCUACCUCCGUCGCGGAGAUAUGAUGAGAGAAGAAACGGCUUCAUUUCCAGAGUUUGAAGACUGAGAGAAGGACAGAUUUCCACCCCUCAAACAAACGUAAUUUAUGGCUCAACGGGUAAGACAGAUGAAAUCAUCAAACUGCUCCAGCAGGACAAAGAAACAGCAGAGAAGCUGAAGUAGCUUCAGCUCCAGGGUGAGACAGAUAGUGAAAUCAUCAAACAGCUCCAGGAGGUGAAAGACAAAGCAGCUUCUGAAGAAGCAGCUGGAGUCCAAAAAUUGGGAGGUUUGUGUUUCCUUUAUACUCAAUGAAAAUUUGCUGACUUGGCUCUAUUUGGUAAUACAGAAUAGAACAGAAUAGCCACAUUAUUGUCAUUCAGAACAUAUACAGUUAGUGUCAGUAUUUACAUCAAAUUGUACAAUAUAAAUAAAC
ensembl:lncRNA